UUCGUACAUAGAACUUUCGCACCCAGUGUCGGGCAAGAUAAAAAAUUACUACAAGGAACAAUUUCAACAAAUGUCUGGAUACCACAAUAUGAUUGUAACACGUGUUGAAUUGAAGUCAGACACCUUACCACCAUGCAACAGUAUCAUCUACCGUAACCGCCGAACCCCUUUCGGUGACGUAGACAUAAUUUGUUCUGCAAUGUGAGAAGUGACAGCAAUGCAGAAUACCUACAGACCUUGAACAUGUUGAAGAGAAAUGAAGAGAUACAGCUCUAAAUUGUUCCACAUGGUGUGUGUGGGAAACAUAGAGGACAGAAAGCAUGUGACAAAAAAUAAAAAGAAAAGGCGGUGUUGAAUGGUAUGCAGUGAGUGCAAGUCAUCUGAAGUCAGGGACCAUCGUAUUGCAGCAUUACAGAAAGCAGUCUACGGAAUAAAUACCAUACUUUCGUUUUCAAGUAACAGUGUGAAAACAUGCAAAUAUAAAGUGUAAAGUAACAGUAGCACAGAAUGGCUGGAGACCAUUAACUUAAAAACUGAAGAGAUGCAGGUCUUUGUUCUAUAUGGUGAUUGAUGGAACUAUGGUGCAGUUUUGAAUUUAUAAGGUGUGAAGUUACAGAAAAGCAGAAUAGCUACAGACCAUGAAAUUUAGAAAAUGAAGAGAUCCAUGUCUCUGUUCAGCAUGGUGUAUAUGGGAAACAUUGUGGGUCACAGACCUCUGUUCAGCAUGGUGUAUAUGGGAAACAUUGUGGGUCACAGACCUCUGUUCAGCAUGGUGUAUAUGGGAAACAUUGUGGGUCACAGACAUGAAAUGAUUUGUGUGAAGUAACAGUAAAGCAGAAUGGCUACAGACAAUUAGUUCAGAAUUGAAGAAGAGAUGCAGGUCUUCAUUCUAUAUGGUGUAUGAGGGAACCAUGGUGGAAAUUUGGAUUUCAUGGCAGUCAUAGAAAUAUCUAAUAAGUCUGUAGGAAAGUGAUGUGUGUACCAGUCUGUCAGACUUUUACCUGUCUGUCCAGUCGACAGAUUCGCAAUAGAUGCGUAGAUUCUCAAAUAAUUUGGCAGAGUUUUCACAGUUACUAAGACAGAUUGCAAAAGAUUUUUGGACUAUAUUCCUGUGCGGAUUGAUUAAAAAACUACUCCAGACUGGUAGACAUGACAGAUGUUUAUUGGAAAUAUGAACAUGGAAUUAAAACUUUGAUGUGUAGCAAAAAAAUUCAUCGUUGAUGAUAGUGGUUUUCUAAGCUAUAUUGACUGGAACAGGGUUGUUCUUUACAAAUACAGAGCUAUCAAUGCUGCAAUUUUGUUGUGAAAGUCACAAUCCAUGUCAGAAGGUGCUUGUUUUACUAUACAGCAAAGACGAAGAAAUUGUACUAGGCCGACACCUAUAUGGGAAAUAGUUAAUUUUGAAUAUC
rnacentral:lncRNA from 1 species